rnacentral:rRNA from 1 species
UACGUAGGGGGCAAGCGUUAUCCGGAUUUACUGGGCGUAAAGCGUCCGUAGGUGGUUUGUUAAGUCAGGGGUGAAAUCCCGGGGCCCAACCCCGGAACUGCCUUUGAUACUGGCAAGCUGGAGCGUGAUAGAGGAAGAUGGAAUAUCUGGUGUAGGGGUGAAAUCCGUAGAUAUCAGAUGGAACACCAAUGGCGAAGGCAGUCUUCUGGAUCGUCGCUGACACUGAGGGACGAAAGCGUGGGUAGCAAACAGA